rnacentral:tmRNA from 1 species
GGGGGCGUAAUGGUUUCGACGGGGAUUUUGAAAGUGGGAAUAGCCAUCCGCAGACGGUGACUGCGUAUUAAAACCGAAAAUUAAUAAUAAACGACAACGAUUAUUCUUUAGCAGCUGCGUAAAUAACGCAGCCGUCGGCCUGAGAAAACUUGCCGCCUCAGUAACCGGCGUCGAUUAGGCAAGGCACUCAACCGCUUAAGCUUUGCGGCGGUUUGAAGAUUCAUGAAGCUACCUGAACGUAAGUCUUGUUGGUUUGCCUUACGGAAUGGGAACUUUGAAUAACCAACUGUGAUGGGAGAAUUUCCUUCUGCCAGAUUUUCGGACCCGGGUUCGAUUCCCGGCGCCUCCAGAA